AGUUCGGAUUGUAGUCUGCAACUCGACUACAUGAAGCUGGAAUCGCUAGUAAUCGCGGAUCAGAAUGCCGCGGUGAAUACGUUCCCGGGUCUUGUACACACCGCCCGUCACACCAUGGGAGUCGGGAAUGCCCGAAGCCAGUGACCCAAGCGAAAGCAGGGAGCUGUCGAAGGCAGGCCGGAUAACUGGGGUGAAGUCGUAACAAGGUAUC
rnacentral:rRNA from 1 species